rnacentral:rRNA from 1 species
AUCGAACGCUGGCGGCAGGCCUAACACAUGCAAGUCGAGCGAGCGGCGGACGGGUGAGUAAUGUCUGGGGAACUGCCUGAUAGAGGGGGAUAACUACUGGAAACGGUAGCUAAUACCGCAUACCAUCGGAUGUGCCCCGAUGGGAUUAGCUAGUAGGUGGGGUAACGGCUCACCUAGGCGACGAUCCCUAGCUGGUCGGAGAGGAUGACCAGCCACACUGGAACUGAGACACGGCCCAGACUCCUACGGGAGGCAGCAGUGGGGAAUAUUGCACAAUGGGCGCAAGCCUGAUGCAGCCAUGCCGCGUGUGUGAAGAAGGCCGUCGGGUUGUAAAGCACUUUCAGCGGGGAGGCGUUACCGGCAGAAGAAGCACCGGCUAACUCCGUGCCAGCAGCCGCGGUAAUUC